rnacentral:misc_RNA from 1 species
UAAAAAUGUGAUGGAAGACUUACUUUUGUCAUUUCAACAUGUCAAAUCUGUAAUGGAGGAAUCUAAUAUGGAAGAAGAAUCAAAGCCGAGUCUAGUUGCUCGUUUUGGAAGAAUUCUCUUUCAUGGGAUUUCUGCAAAAAGUCAAGAAUCCCUCAAUAGUAACCUAUUAAAGGAAACUACCUUGAGGCAAAUGAGAAAAUCUUUCUAUACCAGUGUUCCUCUUUCAUACAUGGAAUAUAUACGAAACCUUGCAGUUGAAAAACUUGACUUACAAUAUGUGG